GCCUCUGGUGUAUCUCUGGAUGUGCGUGGCCCUGCCAGCCUGGAGGAGAUGGUAUUUUGGGGACAGCUGCAAAGAAAAGAAGCAGUCUGCUACUCACACAGCGCCGCAGCCUCAGCCUCAGCGUCUUCAGCUUUUCUCCCAGGGAGUUCACGUGCUCUUUGAUGUCUGGGCCGUGGUUCUCAGCCUGCGGCAUCACCUCCUCCAGGUAAAACUGGAUCAUCUCAGACAAGGCUUGGCAACCCAGACGGGCAAACUGAGACCUAAAGAAGAAAAUGACUUUCCCAGGCGCUAGAGAUAGUUCACGGCAAAGGCGGAAUCUGAGCCCAGUUCUCUUUUUCAAAGAGGAAACUGAAAGUCAAAGAGAAGGCUGAAAUAACUUGCCCAAGGCCACCCAACUGAGUGGCAGAGCUGGGCUCCAAACCCAGGCAGCCUGGCUCCACGCUCCCCUUCUUAGCUGUAUCAUGUCCCAGACCUGGCAGUGGUCCUGCAGGAUGAACGAGAAGAGCUUGCAAACCCCGACAUGAUUCCAAGAAGGUGUACAGAGGAAGCCUACGGAGCUGUGUGUUCCGCACCAUCCACACGUGUGGAUGCACAUACCGACACUUCUGGGCUCUGUUCCCUGGGGUGCGUCACUUCUGUUACAGGGACUUUGGAUGUAGGACCGUUCACUGGGACCAGAGAUGCCCAGUUGAUUGCAAGGGUCUGGAAGACUGCCAGGACUGCCGUUGCCUGAAUCAUGAGGUCCCUCACUGCUAGGCUACUGGCCAGGUCUAGGGGGAAUGGAGGGGUCUUCAGACUGGAGAAGUUGAAGGUGAGAGAUGGAGCGUAUGGUGGAAAGGAAGACUAAUAAACUCUGCCCUGAUACCCUUUCCCCAUCAGCUCCCAUCCUGGUCAUGCCCAUUUCUUCACACCUGCACUGUCUUCACCAAGGUUUUUAGCUGCAAUGAUAAAGUCAGCUACCUGAAGCAAAAGGGGAGCAGGAUUUAUUGUAAGGAGCCUAGGCUGUCUCAGAAUAUCCAGGGACAGAAACUGCUGCAGGCCACAUGACCGGUACUUUCCACUUUUCUUGGUGCCCUUGCAUCCUGCUUUCUCCCCAGACCAGCUCUCUCUGCACUUCUGGAUGGCUUGCAGGAGCCCACAGCUGCAUAGCUCUCAAGGCUGCUGUCUUUAGUUCAAGGGCCCAGCCAAGACUGACCAGUGCUCUGAAGUCCCAAGUCCAAAUUCCUGGGAGACAGACUAACAGCUCAGCUUAGGUCAGGUGUCCACCCUCCAAUCAGGGGACCAGGGUCUGGGGGCUGCCAGGGUCAAGGUGGGUAAACAUCAUAAAUGGUGUCCCAGGUCAAAUGGUGUGUCCUCCAUGAAGACCCUCUGACCGAUCCUAUGGAAGAAGUCCCCUCUCUCCCGAAUCCCCAGAACACUGUCUCUGUCCCUCUUCUUGGCAUGCAUUACUUUCUACCUUGUGUAAGUAUUGUCUUUGUGAACAUCCUAGCCCCUCUCCCAGGUACCUAUAAGCUGGUUUGUUUAUCUUCACUUAUCUCACAGCUUGUGCAAAAAAAAAAACUGGACAUGUACUUAACACCCAAAGGUAUAGGUAAUCUCCAAAUAAAUCAGUUUUCAA